rnacentral:lncRNA from 1 species
AAAUUGUGGCAUAUACCUGGGCCCAGCUCACAACCACAAUGAUGACUCUCUUACCUGGACACAGACAGUGGGAGAUAUUUUGACUUUUGUAGCCAGGCUUAGGCCAUAGGUGGUUUGGUGACUCUCGAACCAUGAUUCGGCAGACCUGUGAGGCUGUGAGUUCCCUAUUGGAACACAAUCUGCAGGUUGUAUUGUGCCAUAUACCUGGGACCAAAUUACAAGCACAAUGAUGAAUUUUUUACCUGGAGUCAAGACAUGUGCAGGAUGGUGGAACUUAUCACUGGACCUUUCCACAGUGUUAUUAUGACAUAUAACUUUGUCCAACAUGUGAGUAAUUUGACUCUCCAGAUGGCCCAGUUCACAAAUAAAAUUGUGACAGAUACCUGGGCCAAGAACCAAAGAGGUGUGACUC